rnacentral:rRNA from 1 species
UACAGAGGGGGCAAGCGUUGUUCGGAAUUACUGGGCGUAAAGGGCGCGUAGGCGGCCUGCUAAGUCGAACGUGAAAUCCCCGGGCCCAACCCGGGAACUGCGUCCGAUACUGGCAGGCUUGAAUCCGGGAGAGGGAUGUGGAAUUCCAGGUGUAGCGGUGAAAUGCGUAGAUAUCUGGAGGAACACCGGUGGCGAAGGCGACAUCCUGGACCGGUAUUGACGCUGAGGCGCGAAAGCCAGGGGAGCAAACGGG